GACGAACGCUGGCGGCGUGCUUAACACAUGCAAGUCGAACGGACAGGCCCUGCUCUUGUGGGGUGCUCGAGUGGCGAACGGGUGAGUAACACGUGAGUAACAUGCACUUGACUUUGGGAUAACUUCAGGAAACUGGGGCUCAUAUCGGAUAGGAGCUCCUGAUGCACGGUGGGGGUUGGAAAGUUUCGGUGGUUGGGGAUGGACUAGCGGCUUAUCAGCUUGUUGGUGGGGUAGUGGCUUACCAAGGCUGUGACGGGUAGCCGGCCUGAGAGGGUGACCGGCCACAUUGGGACUGAGGGACGGCCCAGACUCCUACGGGAGGCAGCAGGGGGGAAUAUUGCGCAGUGGGCGGAAGCCUGAUGCAGCAGCGCCGCGUGCGUGAUGACGGCCUACGGGUUGUAAACCGCUUUCGCCUGUGACGAAGCGUGAGUGACGGUAAUGGAUAAAGAAGCACCGGCUAACUACGUG
rnacentral:rRNA from 1 species